rnacentral:lncRNA from 1 species
CACAACACCGCCCCUCACAUUUUCUCACCGACGAAAAACGAAUAAACAGAGCAACCCGGGUCAGGGUCGGGUCGGAGGCCCACUUCUCUCGCUCAGCUUCACAUCCUCCUCCGCCGUCGAUGGCCAAGGAGAGGGAAAAAGAAAGAGCAGCCGGUGGCGGCGGUGAGAAGAGAGUAUUCAUGGGCGUAGUUAUGAACUG